AGCUCCAAUAGCGUAUAUUAAUGUUGUUGCAGUUAAAAAGCUCGUAGUUGGAUUUCUGUUGUGUAUUUUUUUAAUUUUACAUUUUGUGAAUUAUGAAAAAACACAUCAUCCUUAUGGAGAAAUAUUUGGUUAUUCAUUUAAUCAUAUACAGACCCAUAUCUUUUACUGUGAAAAAAUUAGAGUGUUUAAAGCAGGCAUUUUUGCUUGAAUAUCUUACCAUGGAAUAAUAAAAUAUGACUUUUUUGUAUUUUGUUGGUUUGCGAAAAAAGUAAUGAUUAAUAGGAUCAAUUUUGGGGAUAUUCGUAUUUUCUUGUCAGAGGUGAAAUUCUUGGAUUUAAAAAAGACGAACUACUGCGAAAGCAUUUAUCAAGCAUGUUUUCAUUAAUCAAGAACGAAAGUA
rnacentral:rRNA from 1 species